rnacentral:rRNA from 1 species
GACAGAGGUGCCAAGCGUUAGGCGGAAUCACUGGGCUUAAAGCGUGUGUAGGCGGAUCGUUAAGUACCUUGUGAAAUCCCACGGCUCAACCGUGGAACUGCUGGGUAUACUGGCGAUCUUGAGCCACCUAGGGGCGAGCGGAACAAGCGGUGGAGCGGUGAAAUGCGUAGAUAUCAGGAGGAACACCAAUGGCGAAGGCAGCUCGCUGGGACGGUACUGACGCUGAGACGCGAAAGCGUGGGGAGCAAACAGG